rnacentral:rRNA from 1 species
GACAGAGGCCCCGAGCGUUAGGCGGAAUCACUGGGCUUAAAGCGCGUGUAGGCGGACCGUUAAGUACCUUGUGAAUCCCACGGCUCAACCGUGGAACGGCUGGGUAUACUGGCGGUCUUGGGCCACGUAGGGAUUGCCGGAACAAGCGGUGGAGCGGUGAAAUGCGUAGAUAUCGCUUGGAACGCCGACGGUGAAGACAGGCAACUGGACGUGCGCCGACGUGAGACGCGAAAAGCCAGGGGGAGCGAACGGGG